GCCUGGGUGGCCCAGUCGGUUAAGCGUCUGACUUCAGCCCAGGUCAUGAUCCUGCGCUUUGUGGGUUCGAGCCCCACGUCGGGCU
rnacentral:tRNA from 1 species